UACGUAGGGUGCGAGCGUUAAUCGGAAUUACUGGGCGUAAAGUGUGCGCAGGCGGCCGCGCAAGUCGAGUGUGAAAUCCCCGAGCUUAACUUGGGAAUUGCGCUCGAAACUACGUGGCUGGAGUGUGGCAGAGGAAGGUGGAAUUCCACGUGUAGCGGUGAAAUGCGUAGAGAUGUGGAGGAACACCGAUGGCGAAGGCAGCCUUCUGGGCCAACACUGACGCUCAUGCACGGAAGCGUGGGGAGCAAACAGG
rnacentral:rRNA from 1 species